CCCAGGUGCUAAAAUCUUAUGUGUCAAGGGCAUUGUGAUGGCGCGAUCCAUGUCUCCUGCUAGCGCUCGACGUCCCGUAGCCCCAAAGAGGAGGGCUCCAAGGUUGGACAACAAGCUUCACUGGAUGAAAGCAUUUCCCUUCUAAAACAGAGUGCUGCUGAUAUGAAUGCACAAGUUAGUCUUGAUACUAAGAUGGUCAUGGAAUUGCUUGAUCUAUACUAGGUCAACAUGUCAGCCAACCACUUAAAAAUAAUCAUUUGCAUUUCUUCCUCUAAACUGUGAAACCUGACGAGUGAUGACGCAUCAGCAAUUUAGCAAUAGAAGAUGUCAGUGAACACGAGUGCCAGUCAAGAGCAAUGAAACGCUAGAUACUUUAGAGUGUAAUUUUAUAUAAGAAUAAAUAAAUGACACUUAAGUCAUUAAGCAAUUGUUGUUGAGGUAUUGUCUCACCCUUUAUCUGCUCUCUUUUAAACUGUGGAAUGCUAUGGGCUGGAGCUACAGGGGAGGAGGGAGGUAAGCGUGAAUGCAAUGAAUAUUGUUCGGAUAAAAAAUUGGGUGCAAACUGAGUACUGACGUGCAGAGUAGGAUAGUUAUUGAGUUCUUCCUGAGUUUUCAUUGAGAAAAGAUUGGAACUGUGUGAUUUGUUCUGAACUUCUAAUACAAAGUAAAGAUGGUGUGCAUGGGAGGAGCUUGAAGUGGCAUUCCCAUGGAGGGAUGGCUGAUGGCAA